GAGCCCGCACUUGAUUAGUUUGUUGGUGGGGUAAUGGCCUACCAAGACUUUGAUCAAUAGCUGAUUUGAGAGGAUGAUCAGCCACAUUGGGACUGAGACACGGCCCAAACUCCUACGGGAGGCAGCAGUGGGGAAUCUUGCACAAUGGAGGAAACUCUGAUGCAGCGAUGCCGCGUGAGUGAAGAAGGCCCUUGGGUUGUAAAGCUCUUUCGUCGGGGAAGAAAAUGACUGUACCCGAAUAAGAAGGUCCGGCUAACUUCGUGCCAGCAGCCGCGGUAAUACGAAGGGACCUAGCGUAGUUCGGAAUUACUGGGCUUAAAGAGUUCGUAGGUGGUUGAAAAAGUUGGUGGUGAAAUCCCAGAGCUUAACUCUGGAACUGCCAUCAAAACUUUUCAGCUAGAGUUUGAUAGAGGAAAGCAGAAUUUCUAGUGUAGAGGUGAAAUUCGUAGAUAUUAGAAAGAAUACCAAUUGCGAAGGCAGCUUUCUGGAUCAUUACUGACGCUGAGGAACGAAAGCAUGGGUAGCGAAGAGGAUUAGAUACCCUCGUAGUCCAUGCCGUAAACGAUGUGUGUUAGACGUUGGAAAUUUAUUUUCAGUGUCGCAGCGAAAGCGAUAAACACACCGCCUGGGGAGUACGACCGCAAGGUUAAAACUCAAAUGAAUUGACGGGGACCCGCACAAGUAGUGGAGCAUGUGGUUUAAUUCGAAGAUACGCGCAGAACCUUACCAACACUUGACAUGUUCGUCGCGACUUUAAGAGAUUAAAGUUUUCGGUUCGGCCGGACGAAACACAGGUGCUGCAUGGCUGUCGUCAGCUCGUGUCGUGAGAUGUUGGGUUAAGUCCCGCAACGAGCGCAACCCUCACUUUUAGUUGCCAUCAUUAAGUUGGGCACUCUGAAAGAACUGCCAGUGAUAAGCUGG
rnacentral:rRNA from 1 species